rnacentral:rRNA from 1 species
AACUCGCCUGCACGAAGUCGGAAUUGCUAGUAAUCGUAGGUCAGCAUACUACGGUGAAUACGUUCCCGGGCCUUGUACACACCGCCCGUCAAACCAUGAGAGUUGGCAACACCCGAAGUCGGUAGUCUAACCGCAAGGAGGGCGCUUCCUAAGGUAAGACCGAUGACUGGGGUGAAGUCGUAACAAGGUACC